CUCCGUGGUCCCGUCUCAUGGUCUCCGCCGGCUGCCCCCGUGCCCUCCGGUCCACCUCUCUCACCCGCUGCCGCUGGCACUCGGCCUGCCGCUGACGCCACCACACACACACUCGACUCCACCCAGAGCCCCUCCACCAGCACUCACACACACAUCCGCUCCAGCAGUGGGAGCGGCCGGCCGUAGCCUGGCCUGCCAGAACGUCUGCAAGAUCGCCAUGGCGUUCGAGAAGCCCAGUCCACCCCAGAAGCCUCUUCCCGCAGACCCGCUGAGUGGAAACGUCCGAGUGAUUCGGAACCCAUCGGCCGUGCGACUUCCAGCUCCCAUCCCGACCCCAGCCGCCCCGCGACCCGCUCCGCCUCACCCACAGCCCACCAGGUGCAAACACAUCCAUGAACACCUGCUGAAAAUGUCAAAUCAUUAACGAAAUAGUUCACCCAAAAAAGAAAAUUUGCUGAAAAUGUCCUCAAACUCAUCUACAUCUUGGAUGGCCUGAG
rnacentral:lncRNA from 1 species